rnacentral:misc_RNA from 1 species
CCACAGUUCAACUCCAAAUGUGCUUGUGCAGUUUGUGUUAUAUGAUCACAAUAAUUUGAUGUUUCCUCAUCUCAUGCUUUUUGCAAUGGAAAAUAUUCCUCCUUUGAGGGAACUUAGCCUUGAUUAUGGUGUGGCUGAUGAGUGGACUGGGAAGCUUUCUAUUUGCAACUGAAUAGGCUAGAAAAGUUUUUGGAACUUUUGUAUGUGGUGUAGCACAUCAUCGGAAGACAUAAUGUUGUAAGUUAAGCUUAACUACUUAUUUACAAUAUCUAGUUGAACAUGAAUAGAUCACCUUAUUUUAGUUUGUGGCAUUGUCAUCAUUAAAGCUCAUUCUAGAUUGAUGUGUGCCUUGUAAUUCUCGUGUAGUCCAGUCUGUUAGCAAUGUUAUUUACUCAGCUUAGAGGCAGUAUUCCUUAAGCAACUUCAUAGCAUAGGCAACAUAUAAUAACAUAUAGUUUGGUUUUGGAUACCAUUUAUGUGAGACGAAGGAGUUAAAAUGUCUUAUUUACAUCAAAUUGCAUGCCUUUCAAAUAUAUGCGAAUUGUUGAUAUCUACCUUUCUAAAUCACUGGUUUAAUUUUUUUGUCGUUUUUUACAACAGUGUAACUAUUAUUUAACAUGUGUCUGCCCAGUCUACCAGUGCAUAAUUGUUUGGGCAAAGAUCCUUUCAGGCCUCUAUGUCCAUUCGGUUAUCUCUAAGAAGUAGAAGGAUAUUUUGUGAACUGUUUGCUAAUGACCUGUAUGUUCCUUUUUUUUUAAUAAAAAAUUGUUAGUUGAUGUUGCCUUUCCAAGGAAGAGCAGUACAAUAAUUGAUACUCCCAGUUUUUUCAGUGUCUUCAUAUAGUCAGGGAGUGAAGGUCAUACCAGGUAGCAAUUGUUUAUGUGCCUAGUGUAGUGCGUCUUUUAUGUUGCAUCUGCAAUGACAUUCUGUUUUGGAUGUGUGCAUGAGCAGUGCAAAUGGUGGCCCUAAUUCACUAAGAAACCCCAUUGAUUUCCAAGGGAAACUGGCACGAAUCAAGUUGGCCAAUGCAGUUUCCAUGAUAGUUUUGACUCUGUCUCUAAUACUGCACACCAAGUGAUAGCCAUGCUGCUACUUAAUGUUUACCAUCUAGCAUAGUUUCUGAGAUUAGUUGGAUG